rnacentral:misc_RNA from 1 species
AAGUCGUAACAAGGUUUCCGUAGGUGAACCUGCGGAAGGAUCAUUAUUGAAUAUUCCUGAUGAGUUGUAGCUGGCUCUUUGGAGCAUGUGCACGCUUGUCUUGAUCUUAUUCAUCCACCUGUGCACAUUUUGUAGUCUUUUGGGCUGAGUCGAGUAUCGGAUGGAUGUCUAUCCGGAUGUGAGGACUGCUGAGUGCGAAAGCAUACAGCUCUUCUCUGUUUGACCUCACCCUUGAGUACUAUGUAUUCAUAUACCACAUAGUAUGUUGUAGAAUGUGAUCAUUGGGACUUUGUGCCUAUAAUAAUCAUAUACAACUUUCAGCAACGGAUCUCUUGGCUCUC